rnacentral:rRNA from 1 species
AACGAACGCUGGCGGCAUGCCUAACACAUGCAAGUCGAACGAGACCUUCGGGUCUAGUGGCGCACGGGUGCGUAACGCGUGGGAACCUGCCCUUAGGUUCGGAAUAACUCCCCGAAAGGGGUGCUAAUACCGGAUAAUGUCUUCGGACCAAAGAUUUAUCGCCUUUGGAUGGGCCCGCGUUGGAUUAGCUGGUUGGUAGGGUAAAAGCCUACCAAGGCGACGAUCCAUAGCUGGUCUGAGAGGAUGAUCAGCCACACUGGGACUGAGACACGGCCCAGACUCCUACGGGAGGCAGCAGUGGGGAAUAUUGGACAAUGGGCGAAAGCCUGAUCCAGCCAUGCCGCGUGAGUGAUGAAGGCCUUAGGGUUGUAAAGCUCUUUUACCCGGGAUGAUAAUGACAGUACCGGGAGAAUAAGCUCCGGCUAACUCCGUG